rnacentral:misc_RNA from 1 species
UAACCACUCAAGCCUUUGCUUGGUAUUGGGGUUCGCGGUCCCGCGGCCCUUAAAAUCAGUGGCGGUGCCUGUCGGCUCUACGCGUAGUAAUACUCCUCGCGAUUGGGUCCGGUAGGUUACUUGCCAGCAACCCCCAAAUUUUUACA